UUGGCAGGUGCUCCAUUACUCGUCACACAGUUUGUAGUCUGUAGGAACACAAUCUUAAGUUCCCUCACCAUAAAUGUAAAGAGAGAAAUCCAAGCAACAUAAUAUUAUUAUGUGUUGUUCUUGUCUUUUGGAAUUCUUAUGUGUUGUUACAACUGCAAUUUACAUAAACAUGACAUGCUGCUUUUCUUCAAACUAUGCUAAGAUGGAAAUACUAGAUUUCCA
rnacentral:lncRNA from 1 species